GGAGAGCCCUCAAGAAAGGAGGGAAAGAAGCAGGACACUAGGAUGGGGCUAGAGGGACAAGGGAGCCACCAGCCCACAGGAGCCUGGGACUUCUGCUAUAGUUCAUGAUCUCUUAAGACACAGUCGGCUCCCAACUCUUAUUUUGCUUUUGCUUGUUAUUUUCUGCUUGCAAUAUUAGGUAGCCAGGGGGACAGAAGUGCUGCAAAGAGUGGGGACACUCGGUGCCUCACCUCGGCAGCUUUUUAAAUAGCUACAGAGAUAGAGAAAAUAGCCCCCCAGAC
rnacentral:lncRNA from 1 species